GGAGAAUGCGGGCACAGUAGCACAUUGAGGGUCUGUGGGUGUGCCAGUCAUUCGGUAGUCUGCUUGAGGACUUUUAUUUUGGCAGACCUGCUAAUCAAAUAAGUAGCACUGUACCUUUAAGACUGUUACCUGCUUGGUGCUAUAAUGGAGGACCUGCUGAGAGCUGUGGUGCAGGCAACGGCUAAACAACAAGGCACAAACAGUUUCCUGGCUGCACAGGUUAAGAACCUGAGGGACGCUCAGCAGGAGCAUAGAGCUGCCCUUACUGAGGUU